CAAAAGGUUUUAUCUCCUGGGGAUUUAAGAGAUGUGUGGAUGUGGCACUUGGGGACAUGGGUUAGAGGUGGCCUUGGCAGCGCAGGGAGAAGGGUUGAACUCACUGACAUAGAGGGC